rnacentral:lncRNA from 1 species
CUGAACAUCAUUCACAAUCAUUAGUAAAUAUUGUUAAAAAUAUGAUUUUAAUGAUUGCUCCAUAUGAAUGUGCUCAGUCUUACUUACGUAAGAUUAUUAAGUUGACCAUUUCGCCUAUUUCUAAUUUCCAGCUAUUAAAAAUAACUCUGUUAUGAAUAUUCUCUAACAUAAAUCUUUGACCAUCUGUGAUUAUCUCCCCAGGCUAAACUCCUAGAAGUGGGAAUACAGAAUGAAAGUUCUGAUUAUUUUUAAAAUUUCUGAUAUAUAUAGUGCUGAUUUGCCCUCUGGAAAGAUUGCUUCCGAUUUGCAACUCCAACUGCUGAAUUUAUUAGAGCAAAUUGCUCAUUAUUGUCAGGCGGAUGGAGACCUUGUGACAAAUGGGAGGACACUGGAGUUAGAAAUGACUGCCUGCAAGAAGACAGAUACUUGGGGAAAGAGAAUACAGACAGAAGGACGCAAAGGGAGAUCUACAGAGGCAAGUCCACAGUAAAGAAGAGAAGCAGAAAUCUGGAAACCUACAGAGAGAGACAACAGCCUGGAGGCCUUUGAUAGACUUUCCUCUUCACCUGGCCUGAAAGCAUUAGAGCAGGUGAGCAUCUCCUGUAACCACCCUUCAGUACACCAAUGAACUCUCCACUACUUGGAAAUUGUCCCUUUUCAGGGACAAAAAUAAUUUUUUCCAGUGUUUUUAAAAGCUUUAUUGAGAUAUAAUUGAUAUACAAAAAUUUGCACACAUUUAAUGUAUACAUCUUGAUGAAUUUGGAUAUAUGCAUCCAC